CUGAGAUCCAAACAACCAAACCCAGUCGCCUAAGGUCACGCAGCCGGCCACUUUGAAAGGCUCGAGCUGGCUUUGCCAAGAACAAUCGCGGCUAAAGGGCUGGACAAUAAACAAGCCAAACUGUAGAUAAACUUAUCAAAGAACAAAGGCGGCAGCUGGCCAGGAGCUAGGCCCACUUCAUCUCCAAGCUCUGACUGGAAGCCAGCCUACCCCUCUCUCUGCGUCAUCUCAUUUUUCUCCGUCUCUGGUGGAGCGUAGACUUUGUAGGGGACCCUCGUGAACGAGCAGGACCAGAACAGAGUCAGUCUGCAAUGGCUGCCGAGAAAGGUCACGCGGAUGCUGGAAGGAGUCCACGUGAGAGUCUGAAGGAACCACAAGCUGUCAUCCCCAGUGGGGGAAGUGGAUUUCUUUCUUCCAGUGCCGACUUCUUGGCUGAUGAAAUUGCUC
rnacentral:lncRNA from 1 species